GAAGUUCUUUAGGGGAGUGUGUGUGUAGGGGUGAUCAUUACCUUUGUGGAUUUUCCUGCACUUGUUAACUUCCAUAGAAAAUCCGUUGGAUUACUCCCCCCAAUACUCAUUAAUUACUAAGCUUGCCUUCAGCAUCCCUUAUCCCCUCUUACUCCCAGGUCUGCUGAUGUUUGCUGUGACUCACAUGCUCUACGCCUCAGCCUUUGGCAUGCGGCCACUGGCUCUCCGGACAGGCCUGGUGAUGGGAGUGCUGUCAGGUCUGUGCUAUGCCCUCCUCUAUCCAGGGCUUUCAGGUGCCUUCACCUACCUGGUGGGGGUCUAUGUGGCCCUUAUCAGCUUCAUGGGCUGGCGAGCUAUGGCAGGACUGCAGCUGGCUGGGGCAGCCUGGCGCUGGACUGAGCUGGCAGCAGGCAGUGGUGCACUGCUCUUUAUCAUCUCAGACAUGAUCCUUGCACUGAACAAGUUCUGCUUUCCUGUGCCAUACUCUCGGGUAGUCAUCAUGUCCACCUACUAUGCUGCUCAGAUGCUCAUCGCCCUGUCAGCUGUGGAGAGCCGGGAGCCAGUGGAAGACUAUAGACUGAACAAGGCCAACUGAGGGACCAGGAUCUGCUCACCUCCCUCUCCUAGGGCUGGGGUCCAGACCCUGGGGAACCUACAGGAGCUGGAUCAGGAUGGCUGCAGUGCCAGCCUGGGCAGUCGGUAUCACUUGGGAAUUGACAAGUUUGAAGGGGUAAGCAGGAGAAGGUUCUCCCUAGCAAAGCUAGAGGUUCAGGAUAGUGCCGAGUACUCAGAGAAGCAGCUUCCUUUCUGGAGCCAGAACAUCACCCCACCUCUACCCCAUCAGGACUGUCAAAGACCUCCUGAAGGGUAAUGGUGCUCAGCUUCUUGACCCGCCCCUUCCCCUACUAGGUGAAAGAGUCUGACUUCAUCUCUUAUGCCUAGAACAAGUGGCAAUGCUGGAUGAAUCCACUCCUAACUUUUCUGUUCUGUAUAGUCUAGGGAAAGAGGGGAGAAAUCUGUGUUGAGAUGACCCAGGACCGGGGCUUGAAGCCCUUUUAACAGGCCCAUAGUUGGGAAGAUUGGAUGAAGAUGGAAUCUCCCUUCCCCUUGUCUAUCCUUGUUACUUGAACAAUCUCAAUCUUUAAGUGUGACUAUGGAGGUGAAGGGUAGGCAGGAGAGGAAUUUCCUUGGUGUGGGAGCUUGUGGAUACCAAGGAUUGAUCCCAUCUCACUCACAGGCCAGCCCAGAGCUCAGGCCCCAUACCACCACCCUUAGUUCCUGUUCCCAGGGCUAAGGUAAAAACCAUGCCAAAGGAAAGGGCCAGGCUGUGUGUGUGUGUGUGUGUGUGUGCGUGUGUGUGGUGUAUAUGUGUAGUCUGUCUCCUAGCUAGUCUGUGUGUUUUUCUGCCAUAUGUCUCUGCCUGCUGUCUGUAAAAUCUCAUAGGGAGAGGGCCUCAGGGAGCCACCGAAGGGUGCUGAGCCUGGCACCUUUCCUCCCAACAUACCCACUCAGUGCUUUCCUCCCUGCCCCUCCUACACUGGGCUCCAAUGACAUUCUAGGGUCUUAAGACCGAAGGCACAUUCAGUGCAAGGGAAGGAAGGAUGAGGCAACUCCAUCCUCUACUGCCCAAAUGAAAAUAAAUAAAUAAAUAAAAAAUAAAUCAAGGGCCACUGGCUCCCCUGUUUGUCUGCCUGUGUAGCAUGCACGUGCCUGUCCUGGAAAGUGGGUGGGGGCAUGGUGCCAGGGGCCCUGGCUGUCCUCACAGCCUGGGUCAAAGUCUUGGCCAGGGCAUCUUGGCGCCAGCCUGGCUCUCUGGUUCUGCUGACACUGUGCUAGUUGGAGUGGGUCUCCCUUCUCUGGUCACGUGUGCAUGAGGAGAGGUAGUUUAGUAGGAUGGGGGAGGGUAGUGUUUGCCAUUGUCCAAAUUUGUCCUUGAUGCAAUUUCCCUAUGCACAGGUGCCCAGCAAUAUUGGUGACCUUUAGUUACCCAAUGUCCUCUACUGCUGCCUGCCUCCUCCCCUAUCCAUCACAGACCUGCUGCCUGCUCCAAAUGAUCCAGAUUUCCCUUCAAGUAUCUCCUUCUUCUGGGACUUUAGGCUUAGUUGAACAGCUGGGAGGAAUGGGAAUAGAUUGGCUGAUUCAUACUUUAGACAUAAAGCCCUGUCAGAUUAACAUGCCACACUACUCCAGGGGCAUUUGCAUUUUAACAGGCAAUGCCCUAACCCUGAAGAAGAAAGGAAAGCCUUGGAUGGUGGUGAAUAUGCCAUUGGUAGAACACAUUUGUGGGAAUGUGAUAUAGGACACUCAAGUCUCAUAGGUGUUGGGUGAAUCAAUGAUAUUUCAAACUAGGGUUUCAUGUAUUUUGUUUUUUGUUUUUGUGGUGCUGGGGAUUGAAUCUAGGGUCUCGUGCAUACUAAGCUUGAACUCUAC
rnacentral:lncRNA from 1 species